UGCAGUCGAGCGAACAGAUAAGGAGCUUGCUCCUUUGACGUUAGCGGCGGACGGGUGAGUAACACGUGGGUAACCUACCUAUAAGACUGGGAUAACUUCGGGAAACCGGAGCUAAUACCGGAUAACAUUUGGAACCGCAUGGUUCUAAAGUGAAAGAUGGUUUUGCUAUCACUUAUAGAUGGACCCGCGCCGUAUUAGCUAGUUGGUAAGGUAACGGCUUACCAAGGCAACGAUACGUAGCCGACCUGAGAGGGUGAUCGGCCACACUGGAACUGAGACACGGUCCAGACUCCUACGGGAGGCAGCAGUAGGGAAUCUUCCGCAAUGGGCGAAAGCCUGACGGAGCAACGCCGCGUGAGUGAUGAAGGGUUUCGGCUCGUAAAACUCUGUUAUUAGGGAAGAACAAAUGUGUAAGUAACUAUGCACAUCUUGACGGUACCUAAUCAGAAAGCCACGGCUAACUACGUGCCAGCAGCCGCGGUAAUACGUAGGUGGCAAGCGUUAUCCGGAAUUUAUUGGGCGUAAAGCGCGCGUAGGCGGUUUCUUAAGUCUGAUGUGAAAGCCCACGGCUCAACCGUGGAGGGUCAUUGGAAACUGGGAAACUUGAGUGCAGAAGAGGAAAGUGGAAUUCCAUGUGUAGCGGUGAAAUGCGCAGAGAUAUGGAGGAACACCAGUGGCGAAGGCGACUUUCUGGUCUGUAACUGACGCUGAUGUGCGAAAGCGUGGGGAUCAAACAGGAUUAGAUACCCUGGUAGUCCACGCCGUAAACGAUGAGUGCUAAGUGUUAGGGGGUUUCCGCCCCUUAGUGCUGCAGCUAACGCAUUAAAGCACUCCGCCUGGGGAGUACGACCGCAAGGGUUGAAACUCAAAGGGAAUUGACGGGGGACCCGCACAAGCGGUGGAGCAUGUGGUUUAAUUCGAAGCAACGCGAAGAACCUUACCAAAUCUUGACAUCCUUUGAAAACUCUAGAGAUAGAGCCUUCCCCUUCGGGGGACAAAGUGACAGGUGGUGCAUGGUUGUCGUCAGCUCGUGUCGUGAGAUGUUGGGUUAAGUCCCGCAACGAGCGCAACCCUUAAGCUUAGUUGCCAUCAUUAAGUUGGGCACUCUAGGUUGACUGCCGGUGACAAACCGGAGGAAGGUGGGGAUGACGUCAAAUCAUCAUGCCCCUUAUGAUUUGGGCUACACACGUGCUACAAUGGACAAUACAAAGGGCAGCUAAACCGCGAGGUCAUGCAAAUCCCAUAAAGUUGUUCUCAGUUCGGAUUGUAGUCUGCAACUCGACUACAUGAAGCUGGAAUCGCUAGUAAUCGUAGAUCAGCAUGCUACGGUGAAUACGUUCCCGGGUCUUGUACACACCGCCCGUCACACCACGAGAGUUUGUAACACCCGAAGCCGGUGGAGUAACCAUUUAUGGAGCUAGC
rnacentral:rRNA from 1 species